rnacentral:tRNA from 1 species
ACCUCGUUAGCUCAGUGGAUCAGAGCGCCUGCCUACGAAGCAGGAGGUCGCACGUUCGAGUCGUGCACGAGGUGCCA